CUGCUGCCUCCCGUAGGAGUUUGGGCCGUGUCUCAGUCCCAAUGUGGCCGGUCACCCUCUCAGGUCGGCUACUGAUCGUCGCCUUGGUGGGCCGUUACCCCUCCAACUAGCUAAUCAGACGCGGGUCCAUCUCAUACCACCGGAGUUUUUCACACAAGAACAUGCAUCCUCGUGCGCUUAUGCGGUAUUAGCAGUCAUUUCUAACUGUUAUCCCCCUGUAUGAGGCAGGUUACCCACGCGUUACUCACCCGUCCG
rnacentral:rRNA from 1 species